AUUGAACGCUGGCGGCAGGCCUAACACAUGCAAGUCGAACGGUAACAGGAAGCAGCUUGCUGCUUUGCUGACGAGUGGCGGACGGGUGAGUAAUGUCUGGGAAACUGCCCGAUGGAGGGGGAUAACUACUGGAAACGGUAGCUAAUACCGCAUAACGUCGCAAGACCAAAGAGGGGGACCUUAGGGCCUCUUGCCAUCGGAUGUGCCCAGAUGGGAUUAGCUAGUAGGUGGGGUAACGGCUCACCUAGGCGACGAUCCCUAGCUAGUCUGAGAGGAUGACCAGCCACACUGGAACUGAGACACGGUCCAGACUCCUACGGGAGGCAGCAGUGGGGAAUAUUGCACAAUGGGCGCAAGCCUGAUGCAGCCAUGCCGCGUGUAUGAAGAAGGCCUUCGGGUUGUAAAGUACUUUCAGCGGGGAGGAAGGGAGUAAAGUUAAUACCUUUGCUCAUUGACGUUACCCGCAGAAGAAGCACCGGCUAACUCCGUG
rnacentral:rRNA from 1 species